rnacentral:rRNA from 1 species
GCUAUACAUGCAAGUUCGAGCGGACUAGCAUGAGAAGCUUGCUUUCCUCCUGAUAGGUUUAGCGGCGGACGGGUGAGUAACACGUAGGCAACCUGCCCUCAAGUUUGGGACAACUACCGGAAACGGUAGCUAAUACCGAAUAGUUGUUUUCUUCUCCUGAAGAGAACUGGAAAGACGGAGCAAUCUGUCACUUGGGGAUGGGCCUGCGGCGCAUUAGCUAGUUGGUGGGGUAACGGCUCACCAAGGCGACGAUGCGUAGCCGACCUGAGAGGGUGAUCGGCCACACUGGGACUGAGACACGGCCCAGACUCCUACGGGAGGCAGCAGUAGGGAAUCUUCCGCAAUGGGCGAAAGCCUGACGGAGCAAUGCCGCGUGAGUGAUGAAGGUUUUCGGAUCGUAAAGCUCUGUUGCCAGGGAAGAACGCUUGGGAGAGUAACUGCUCUCAAGGUGACGGUACCUGAGAAGAAAGCCCCGGCUAACUACGUGCCAGCAGCCGCGGUAAUACGUAGGGGGCAAGCGUUGUCCGGAAUUAU